UCCAUCAAGAAAAUCCCUUGGUUGAAAGAAUGUGGUGAUAAUAAGAACCCGUUGGCAGGACUCCUACUCACCUUCCUUCUUCCCUGUAGACGGUGAAAAAGUCUGGGCCACUGAUGAGCUCAGGGAGUCAAAGAGGCAGCGAGACCUUCCACCUGCUCCCUGGCUCAGGCUCCUAUGGGAACCGGUCAGGAUCUCACCUUGCAUGCAGAGAUUUGCCCCAGGAGAUGCCAGCUACGGAAGACCGUGUCCAGACUUGCCAGCUUACAUUCAGUCUGACUCCCACUGCUGUACAGGCUCUGUCAAGCACAACUAUCAGACCUGACUGAGGGAGCAUCUGUGUGUAUACAGCAGCAGCGCACAGGACGCUAAUGUUGCCGGCGCGAGACGAGAGCUAAACAUCACUAUUCUGAGAACUACAGAGAGA